ensembl:lncRNA
AUGUCCUGGACUUUUGAUUAUCUUUGGCAUGAAAAAUACAACAAGCAGAGGAAACACAUCGGCACAAAAGCCUGCAGUCCGGCAGCUACAUUUUCUCUGUGGGAGCAGAUUCUCAGUGUCUUCCAAGAAGGCGCAACAUGCUGCAUGCCCAGUGAGUUGGAUUUAGUAGCAAAAGAGGUUGGAGUUCUCCGGAAUGACAAAGAGACCAGAGAGCACCGAACCUAUGGCUGCUUUUGCCUUUGCUCCUCUCUGUGUAGCGAUGCCUGUCAACAUCCACCAGAGAGCAGAGCAGCUCUGAAGACCCAGGCCUUUUAUGCUUUGGAAAUCAAUGGAGACAGCUACACAGCCAGAUCUCGGCCAAACAACAUGGAUUGCAGUUCAUUUCAAAGGUCAGCGCAUAUUUAAACUUGCUUCAUUACUUCCACCUUUAUGCCUGAGAUUUUCAUUUUUUGAAAAUCAGUUUACCUAGGUUCCUUUAGAGACAGAAAAAAAAUGAAAGUGCUGAGUCCUAUUUUCAUUUGGAGAUAUCAAGCUUUUUAUCAAAUUAUAGUGGUGGCGUUUCAGAAUAUUUCAUAUCUGAUCAGAAAGAAAAUCCAAAAAUAAUUUUCUCUUUAUUCAGGAGUCUUUCAAGCUCUAGGACUGUUUUAUUUAUUACUUGAUAUCUGUGCACUAGUCAAUCAUUUUUGAAUUCAGACUAGAAAAUAGAAUUUUUUAUUUUUAACUGACUAAAUAUAUAAAUAAAUAAACAAACAAAUCAUAAGAGGUGUAGUAUUGAAAUGCUGUAGGUUGUAUUUCUAGAAUAAAGUGGGAGCUUUGCUUCCCAGUCUUGCCAAACACCUAAUGUUGGUUUUAACCACAAUAGAUGGUAAUGAAGCUGUACUUUUAGUGAAACAUCUUGCAUUAGUUAAUUAUGGGCACUAUAUACCUCCUGUGUAUUUACACAGCAACAUUUAUCUUUUAGCUUUCAGACUCCUGGAUGCCUUGUAUCAUUCCGAACACUUCCAUGUAUCUUUGCAGCAAAACACUGGUGCUUUCACAUUGUGUGCCCAUGCAUAUGCCAAGCAGGUUUUUAAAAAAAUAUAUGUUAAUGCUUCAUCUGAAUAUGACUCAAAAUAAUGGAUCAUCUCUUUUGUUUGUUAACUCAAUAGAACCACUGCACUGCUACAUAACUCAAAAACAUUGACUUGAGGGGCUUCAAGUCAAGUAGGGACUUCAGGGACAUGAUUUCAGAUCUUGCAGUCCUUUUGUUUUCUAUGAAUAUAUGAAACAAACCUAAACAUAAGUCUUCACAUAGUAAUUUCCCUUUCUGUGGUUACCUUCCCUUGGAUGUGUUCUGCAACCAAUGCUUCCUUCAGUCCCCACAGCCCUCCUUUCAGAUUUCUCAUCUCUCAUGCUUUUCAAUGGACUCUGCAUUAAGAACAUGAUGAGAAGGAUGCUGAUACUGAUCCUAUGAUAAGGAGAAAAUGUGGUGCUGAUAGUCUUUUCAUUCUACUACUGUCUGGAGUAAUAAUACCGUUGCUUCAUUGGGGAUCCUAUAACCCACCAGAGUUCAUUCAGCACAGAAGUGCCAAUUUCAGCAUCUCUAUGGGUACAUAGGUUAAACCGCUGAGCUGCUGAACUUGCUGACUGAAAGGUCAGUGGUUCGAAUCCCGGGAGUGGGGUGAGCUCCUGCUUUUAGCCCCAGCUUCUGCCAACUCAGCAGUUUGAAAACAUGCAAAUAUAAGUAGAUCAAUAGGUACCACUUUGGCAGGAAGGUAAUGGCGCUCCAUGCAGUCAUGCCGACCUCAUGGCCUUGUAGGCAUCUACGGACAACGCCGUCUCUUCGGCUUAGAAAUGGAGAUGAGCACCAACCCCCAGAAUUGGACAUGACUAGACUUAAUAUCAGGGGAAAACCUUUACCUUUACCUAUGGGUACAUCUACAUCAUAGAAUACAACUUGAUGCCACUUUAACUGCCAUGACUCAAAGAUGUGGGAUUUGUAGUUUGGUGAGGCACCAGCUCUCUUUGGCAGACUUUGUAAAGUAAUUCUUAUGAUUCCAUAGUAUUGAGCUAUGGUAGUGUAAAUUCUGUCAAACUGCAUUGAUUCUACAGUAUAGCUCAGGCUUGGAUAAACUUUGGCCCUCCAGGUGUUUUGGACUUCAACUGCCAGAAAUCUCAGCCAGCUUACCAGCUUUUAGGAACUGUGGGGGUUGAAGUACAAAGCACCUGGAGGGCUGAAGUUUGUCCAUGCUUGGUAUGUACCUCUGAAGCUGUUCUUUACUAAUGCUCUUCCUUCAUACACAACAAAGAGGAAGCUACCACAGAUAUCUGAGAAGCUUUAGAUGCUUUUAAUUGGACCAUCAGAUGGAAAUAAAUUACCAUAUUGCUGGGAAUUUCCCUUUCAAAGGACACACAACUGUUGGCUAACCACAAACUCCAAUAUUUGAUGUUCCUUCUGGGAACUUUGUCCAAGAUUUUGUGUGAGGCGGAAAAAAAAUGUAUCCUGGAAACAUCUAUUUAACUAUUAAUUAUAGUAGUGAUUCAGAACACAAAAAGUGCACUGUAUUUGAUGAAUAAUAGGACCAGAGCAGUUGGGGUUAUUACACUAGUAUUUUAUGUUAGUAAGGAGGAUUUUCUGAGAUGACAACAUUCAAGAAAGGGGUAUCCUUUGCUCCUGUUUUAGACAUAAUAUUUACAUGAAAGGAUAGAGUUUCUUAAAUAUGAAUUUACUAAGUACAAACAUAUCAGCAAAUUAUAUCAUUUCCUUUAAGAAAAGGUGCUAUAGUAGAAUCUAUAGCAAACACUUUUGCAGUUCAUAUAAGCAUUAUCUUGUUCAAAGCCUAGUUAUUGUAAGCAAUACGCACACUAGAAAAUGAAAUGGAGAAAAGCAAAAGCUAAAAGAGUUACUAGUUCUUAAAAAUAUCACUGCCUUCAUGGCUUUUAGUAUGUGGUAUAAGCAGCAGAUACCUUCCUUAGUAUUCUUAUUUCAAAUACAAAGCAGCAGCCGUUGUGGAAUUGAGGGCUUAUGGACUUUAAGCCACCAGGAGCAUUGAUGCAGACUUAAAGAUUCAAAUAUGAUUAAGCUUAUUUUUUUUUCAAAAUUUCUUGUGGGUUUGCAAGAAGCUUACUCUGUAUGUACUACACAAUAAGACAGGAGGAUGCAAGAAUGUACAGUUGACAAAAUACCUUCCCCAAAAAGAUUUGGCAAAACCUUGCUGCUCAUAAGAGCUAACAUAAGUUUGACUGUGUUUUUAAAGGCUGCACAAAGUCACACACUUACCAUUGUUAGAAUGCAUGGGAAUUGUUCAUAAUUUCUGGAAAAACUGGGAUGGGGGGUAUUUAUUGAUUCUAUUCAAGAAUAACAGUAGACAGAAAGAGUUCUGCUAAUGUCUGACAGAUCUUUUAGAUUAUUAUUAUUAUUAUUAUUAUUAUUAUUAUUAUUAACAACUGCAUUUCUAUACCGCUUUUCUCACCCCUGGGGGGACUCAAAGUGGUUUACAACAUAAUAAAUGGCAAAAUUCAAUGCCUUACAAAUAUAUAAAAAUAUAUAACAUAUCUAAAUAAGAUACAUACAACUGUAGAUUAAAUCCAUUAAAACUAUAAAAACAUCAAACAAAGACAUAUGCAUAAAAACAUGCUAUUACAGCAAUUAACAUAGAUCCCUUCUCUUCCCCCACCACCAUCUCCCUCUCCAUAGAGUUUCACCCUUUCUUUAUAUACCCUCCCUGCUCCCCCAGGGAGCAAGAUGAUGGAGGCCUUCGAUGUUAGCACUUGAUGAAUAAUUGUACAAUACAUAGCUAAAGGAUCAUGGGGGCAUCUACACUGUAUAAUUAAUGCAAUUUGAUAUUAUCUUAACUGGCUCAAUGCUAUGGCAUCCUGGGAGUUUUAGUUUGGAGAGGCAACAGAACUCUUUGGCAGGGAAGGCUAAGACCCUGCAAAACUAGUAUUCCCAUGAUUGAACCAAGACAGUUAAAGUUGUGCUAAACUGCAUUAAUUGUAGUAUAGAUGCAUCCCAGAACUUCCCUUUUCAGUACAUAACCACCUCUUAGAGAGGUAUGUUGAAAAUCAAACAGGAUCACAGGGAGACAGAUCACUGCAGUCUAUGUUGUGGAACUAGAAUAGAUCACGUAACACAUCAGUUUGAGGCUUUGAAUUCAUACUAGUUAUUUUUUCCUCAUUUUCUGUCUGCCAGUUAGCUUAGAAAGGUAGGUUUGCUCUAGCCAGAAGGGAAAGGGUUGCUGAAAGUGGAGCUACAAAAAACAGAGGCUGGGGACUUGUCUACAUGAGCCCCAAACCCCAGACUUAACCCAAUGGACCACUGGAUGUCUGCAAAAUGCACAGUGACUUCUAAGUAUGAGCAAAUUCUCGAUUUGUCUCUAAUUUUGGAUUAAAAUCGUUUUGUUCUCACUUUUUGAUCUGCUAUCUGACACAUGUUAUCACUGCGCAUCAAGCAUUGUAAUAUGAAGCAACGUUGGCCCUCUCUCGGAAUGUCUCUUAAUAUGUAUCUUUUUUCCCCAAAAACAAUGUUU